rnacentral:lncRNA from 1 species
UCUCUCUCUCUCUCUCUCUCUCUCUCUCAAGUAAUGCAUCAUGUUGAAUGAUAACUAGAAUCAUAAGCCAACUGAGGCACCAAGCUGGGCAGAUCAAUGGGGUGCGGGUGGAAUCGGUGCUAUCGAAGAAGAGAAGGUGGAGGUAAAGAAAGAAGACGAUAAUAAGAAGAAGGGUUCAACACCAUUUGCCAAGAAACUCAAGAACGGGACGUCUAAUGGGAUCAAAUGGCUAAAAAACAAAUGUCAACAGAAGAACUCUGACUUAGACUCAAAAUAAUUUAUAUAUUU